AUUGAACGCUGGCGGCAUGCCUUACACAUGCAAGUCGAACGGUAACAGGUCUUCGGAUGCUGACGAGUGGCGAACGGGUGAGUAAUACAUCGGAACGUGCCUAGUAGUGGGGGAUAACUACUCGAAAGAGUGGCUAAUACCGCAUGAGAUCUACGGAUGAAAGCAGGGGAUCGCAAGACCUUGUGCUACUAGAGCGGCCGAUGGCAGAUUAGGUAGUUGGUGGGAUAAAAGCUUACCAAUUUGACGAUCUGUAGCUGGUCUGAGAGGACGAUCGGCCACACUGGGACUGAGACACGGCCCAGACUCCUACGGGAGGCAGCAGUGGGGAAUUUUGGACAAUGGGCGAAAGCCUGAUCCAGCAAUGCCGCGUGCAGGAUGAAGGCCUUCGGGUUGUAAACUGCUUUUGUACGGAACGAAAAGCCCCGGGUUAAUACCCUGGGGUCAUGACGGUACCGUAAGAAUAAGCACCGGCUAACUACGUGCCAGCCGCCGCCGUAA
rnacentral:rRNA from 1 species